rnacentral:rRNA from 1 species
AGGAAAAGAAACUAACAAGGAUUCCCCUAGUAGCGGCGAGCGAAGCGGGAAGAGCUCAAAUUUAUAAUCUGGCGCUUUCGGCGUCCGAGUUGUAAUCUCUAGAAGUGUUUUCCGCGUUGGACCGCACAUAAGUCUGUUGGAAUACAGCGGCACAGUGGUGAGACCCCCGUUCACGGUGCGGAUGCCCAAUGCUUUGUGAUACACUUUCGAAGAGUCGAGUUGUUUGGGAAUGCAGCUCAAAUUGGGUGGUAAAUUCCAUCUAAAGCUAAAUAUUGGCGAGAGACCGAUAGCGAACAAGUACCGUGAGGGAAAGAUGAAAAGCACUUUGGAAAGAGAGUUAACAGUACGUGAAAUUGUUGGAAGGGAAACGCUUGAAGUCAGACUUGCUAUUCGGGGCUUGCUCCGAGUUGCAGGCCAGCAUCAGUUUUUCGGGGCGGAAAAUCACGGAUUGAAGGUAGCAGUUUCGGCUGUGUUAUAGCUUUCCGUUGGAUACGUCCUGGGGGACUGAGGAACGCAGUGUGCUUUUAGCGAGGGCUUCGGCUCUUUCACACUUAGGAUGCUGGUGGAAUGGCUUUAAACGACCC